rnacentral:ncRNA from 1 species
UAAAGGUUUGGUCCUAGCCUUUUUAUUAAUUACUAGCAGGAUUACACAUGCAAGCAUCUACAUACCCGUGAAAAUGCCCUCAACAUCCACAAGAGAUUUAAAGGAGCCGGUAUCAAGCACACAUUGUAGCUCAAAACACCUUGCUAAGCCACACCCCCACGGGAAACAGCAGUGAUAAAACUUAAGCAAUAAACGAAAGUUUGACUAAGUCAUGCAUAAACAGAGCUGGCCAACUUCGUGCCAGCCGCCGCGGUCAUACGACGAGCUCUAAUUAAUAAACUACGGCGUAAAGAGUGUUUAAGAAGUGCUAAUAUACUAAGAGAGAACUUAGUUUAAGUCGUAAAAAACCUUAACUAAAGUAAACUAACUGACGAAAGUACUCUUAUAUAAUCUGAAUACACGACAGCUAAGGCCCAAACUGGAUUAGAUACCCCACUAUGCUUAGCCGUAAACAACAACAUUUACAUAACAAAAAUCUUCGCCGGAGAACUACUAGCCACAGCUAAAAACUCAAAGGACUUGGCGGCACUUCACAUCCCUCUAGAGGAGCUUGUUCUAUAAUCGAUAAACCCCGAUAAACCUCACCACCUUUUGCCAAACCAGCCUAUAUACCGCCAUCUUCAGCAAACCUUUCAAAGAACAGAAGUAAGCAAGAGAACCUACCGUUAAAAAGUUAGGUCAAGGUGUAGCCAAUAAAGUGGUAAGAAAUGAGCUACAUUUCUAAAAUUUAGAAAUACACGAAAUCCAUUAUGAAAACUAAAGGAUGAAGGAGGAUUUAGUAGUAAAUUAAGAAUAGAGAGCUUAAUUGAAUAAGGCCAUGAAGAGCGCACACACCGCCCGUCACCCUCCUCAAAUAUACCCAUUCAAAUUUAUCUAUAAAAUAAUUAACCUGGUAUUCAGAGGAGAUAAGUCGUAACAAGGUAAGCAUACUGGAAAGUGUGCUUGGAAAACA